CAUGUUAUUUACAAAAGUAUAUCCUGGACAAGAUCACUUCAGAUGGAUAGACUUCACAGCUAUGCAUCUUUAUGUGUGUAAUCCAUUGACAUGCAAUCAAGAGAUCUGUACAGACUUGUGUAUGUAAAUAUUCCAGUAUAUUAGAUUAUUUGAAAUCUAGCCUAUGAUCAUCUCUUUGUCAUCUUGGAUUAGCCCUGUUCAGUUAAAUAGGCGAGCAUUUUUUUCCACAGAUUUGAUUUCACCACUCCACCAAUCAAUAAUCAAUAGGCGUUUUAUUAUGUAAUGCUGUCAGACUCAUAACCAAUCGAAUUUCAAAACCCCACCCACGAAUACCGCUAUGAUGAACAUGUCAAAGGACAGUGCGUCAGUGUCUAUUGGAAGACCAUGGUCCGACUCCGUUUCGGGGAACCAUAUUUAAUUUAAUGUGUAUCAGUUAGCCUAAUGACAUAGUUUCUCCGAGGUUAGGCUACCGGAAUCGCACCAUGAAUACUCAAAUUCCGUUUCAUUCGGUGGAUCCCGGACUCGAACUCUCCUCAACGCAGACAGGUGAAGCAUAUCUUUGAGGACCCUCCCUGCAAGUGUCCCAAUAAGUUCUGUGUGGAGAGACAGGCUCAGGGCCGCUAUCGCGUCGGAGAGAAGAUGCUCUUCAUCCGGAUGCUACACAACAAGCAUGUGAUGGUGUGUGUGGGAGGAGGCUGGGAGACCUUUGAGAGCUACCUGUUGAAACACGACCCAUGUCGGAUGCUCCAGAUCUCCAGAGUGGAGGGGAAGACCUUUCCCAUGUCCCCCAAGUCACCCAACACCAAGGACCUCACCCCAGACAGCUACUUGGUGGUGGCCGCACACUACCGCAGCAAGAAGUAAAGAUGGCCGCCUACUACCACAACAAGAAGUAAAGAUGGCCGCCUACUACCGCAGCAAGAAGUAAAGAUGGCCGCCUACUACCACAACAAGAAGUUAAGAUGGCCACCUACUACCGCAGCAAGAAGUCAACUGGCGCUUCAACCAAGGGGAUCAGUUUGAGCAAGGCGAGGAUGGUGAUGGCCUACUUCCGCAACAAGAAGUAAAGAUGGCCGCCUACUACCACAACAAGAAGUAAAGAUGGCCGCCUACUACCGCAACAAGAAGUAAAGAUGGCCGCCUACUACCGCAACAAGAAGUAAAGAAGGCCGCCUACUACCACAACAAGAAGUAAAGAUGGCCGCCUACUACCACAACAAGAAGUAAAGAUGGCCGCCUACUACCACAACAAGAAGUAAAGACAUUCAUGAGGACCUGAGGAAAUGACCUCUUGCCUUUCCCAACUAGCAAAACUGAUUGAAAUGACAGUGACACAGGGCAAAGCCAGCUGACACUGUCAUUCCAACCAGAUUCCAACCAGUUGCUUGUACAGUAUGUCUUCUAGUUGAUGUAAGCCACAGCCGGCCCACCUGAGCUACAGAACAGACAGUGGCCAGCAGGUAUAUAUCUCCUGUCCUAGCGGUCACGGCAAACUAGCGUCACGGUGACGGUUUGAUUUGGAUUUCUAGCCUUUGAGAAUAAUCUAUGCAAUCAUUUUGACAGUCAUUUUUAGUCGGGGAUUGAGGCUGGUAUAUUUGGUUCUAAAAGCAUGUUUUCUAAUGUUACCUUGUGUGUAUUUUGUUUGACUUUUGUCAUUCAUUCAUUUAAUAGUGUGAAAGUAUAGUAUGACUUCUGUAAUAACUGAUAUAUUCUGAAUAGUGAUUGGAUACUGGUAAAGCUGAAUCUGGACAUGUUCCACCAAUCAUGUUCCUCCUACGGUUCCACCAAUCAUGUUCUUCCUACGGUUCUACUAAUCAUGUUCCUCCUACGGUUCCACCAAUCAUGGGGUUUCUCCUUUCCUUGUUUUCUAAAUAUGUGUUUAUUAUGGUGCUGAUUAUGGAUUUCUCUGUAAUGUCUAUUAUGAGUGAUUCUCUUUUUUUCACGAGCUAGUUCUGCUCUCCUGUUUUGAAGUUAAAAGCUUUUGAUCAUUUGUUAAGGAACGCUAUUAACAUCAUUAUUGUGAGAAGAUUAUUUCCGAGGAUUAAAGAGACAAUCAAA